GAUAAACGCUGGCGGCGUGCCUAAUGCAUGCAAGUCGCGCGUCGAAACCGGUUUCGGCCGGUGGAAAGCGGCGGACGGGUGAGUAACACGUAGGAACCUGCCCAGAAGUGGGGGACAACCCCGGGAAACCGGGGCUAAUACCGCAUACGGUCCACGGACCAAAGCCUUCGGGCGCUUCUGGAGGGGCCUGCGGCGGAUUAGCUUGUUGGUGGGGUAACGGCCUACCAAGGCGACGAUCCGUAGCUGGUCUGAGAGGACGGUCAGCCACACUGGGACUGAGAUACGGCCCAG
rnacentral:rRNA from 1 species